rnacentral:rRNA from 1 species
CUCAAAUGAAUUGACGGGGGCCCGCACAAGCGGUGGAGCAUGUGGUUUAAUUCGAUGCAACGCGAAGAACCUUACCUACUCUUGACAUCCAGAGAACUUAGCAGAGAUGCUUUGGUGCCUUCGGGAACUCUGAGACAGGUGCUGCAUGGCUGUCGUCAGCUCGUGUUGUGAAAUGUUGGGUUAAGUCCCGCAACGAGCGCAACCCUUAUCCUUUGUUGCCAGCGGUUAGGCCGGGAACUCAAAGGAGACUGCCAGUGAUAAACUGGAGGAAGGUGGGGAUGACGUCAAGUCAUCAUGGCCCUUACGAGUAGGGCUACACACGUGCUACAAUGGCGCAUACAAAGAGAAGCGACCUCGCGAGAGCAAGCGGACCUCAUAAAGUGCGUCGUAGUCCGGAUUGGAGUCUGCAACUCGACUCCAUGAAGUCGGAAUCGCUAGUAAUCGUGGAUCAGAAUGCCACGGUGAAUACGUUCCCGGGCCUUGUACACACCGCCCGUCACACCAUGGGAGUGGGUUGCAAAAGAAGUAGGUAGCUUAACCUUCGGGAGGGCGCUUACCACUUUGUGAUUCAUGACUGGGGUGAAGUCGUAACAAGGUAAC